rnacentral:rRNA from 1 species
GAGUUUGAUCCUGGCUCAGAACGAACGCUGGCGGCGUGCCUAACACAUGCAAGUCGAACGUGAUCCAGAGCUUGCUCUGGUGAAAGUGGCGCACGGGUGAGUAACGCGUGGAUAACCUACCCUGGUAUCCGGGAUAACAUUCCGAAAGGGGUGCUAAUACCGGAUAAGCCCACGGGCUCUUUGGAGCUUGCGGGAAAAGGUGGCCUCUAUUUAUAAGCUACUGUAUCAGGAUGGGUCCGCGUACCAUUAGCUAGUUGGCGGUGUAACGGACCACCAAGGCGACGAUGGUUAGCUGGUCUGAGAGGAUGAUCAGCCACACUGGAACUGAGACACGGUCCAGACUCCUACGGGAAGCAGCAGUGGGGAAUUUUGCGCAAUGGGGGAAACCCUGACGCAGCAACGCCGCGUGAGUGAUGAAGGCCUUUGGGUCGUAAAGCUCUGUCAGAGGGGAAGAAAUGAUAUAGUGCUAAUACCACUUUAUCUUGACGGUACCCUCAAAGGAAGCACCGGCUAACUCCGUGCCAGCAGCCGCGGUAAUAC